ACUCCUGCGGGAGGCAGCAGUGGGGAAUUUUGGACAAUGGGCGAAAGCCUGAUCCAGCAAUGCCGCGUGAGUGAAGAAGGCCUUCGGGUUGUAAAGCUCUUUUGUCAGGGAAGAAACGGUGAGAGCUAAUAUCUCUUGCUAAUGACGGUACCUGAAGAAUAAGCACCGGCUAACUACGUGCCAGCAGCCGCGGUAAUACGUAGGGUGCAAGCGUUAAUCGGAAUUACUGGGCGUAAAGCGUGCGCAGGCGGUUUUGUAAGUCUGAUGUGAAAUCCCCGGGCUCAACCUGGGAAUUGCAUUGGAGACUGCAAGGCUAGAAUCUGGCAGAGGGGGGUAGAAUUCCACGUGUAGCAGUGAAAUGCGUAGAUAUGUGGAGGAACACCGAUGGCGAAGGCAGCCCCCUGGGUCAAGAUUGACGCUCAUGCACGAAAGCGUGGGGAGCAAACAGGAUUAGAUACCCCGGUAGUCCCAUGAU
rnacentral:rRNA from 1 species